UGGCAAGUCGAGGGGUAACAGAGAAGCUUGCUUCUGCUGACGACCGGCGCACGGGUGCGUAACGCGUAUGCAACCUACCUCAUACAGGAGAAUAGCCCUUGGAAACGAGGAUUAAUACUCCAUGGUAUCAUUCUUUCGCAUGUUAGAAUGAUUAAAGAAUUUCGGUAUGAGAUGGGCAUGCGUCCCAUUAGCUAGUUGGUGAGGUAACGGCUCACCAAGGCGACGAUGGGUAGGGGGCCUGAGAGGGUGGUCCCCCACACUGGUACUGAGACACGGACCAGACUCCUACGGGAGGCAGCAGUGAGGAAUAUUGGUCAAUGGAGGCAACUCUGAACCAGCCAUGCCGCGUGAAGGAUGACGGCCCUAUGGGUUGUAAACUUCUUUUAUAUGGGAAGAAACUUAUCUACGUGUAGAUAACUGACGGUACCAUACGAAUAAGGAUCGGCUAACUCCGUGCCAGCAGCCGCGGUAAUACGGAGGAUCCAAGCGUUAUCCGGAUUCAUUGGGUUUAAAGGGUCCGUAGGCGGAUUUUUAAGUCAGUGGUGAAAGCCGACAGCUCAACUGUCGAACUGCCAUUGAUACUGGAAAUCUUGAGUACAAAUGAAGUAGGCGGAAUGAGUCAUGUAGCGGUGAAAUGCAUAGAUAUGACUCAGAACACCGAUUGCGAAGGCAGCUUACUAACAUGUAACUGACGCUGAGGGACGAAAGCGUGGGGAGCGAACAGGAUUAGAUACCCUGGUAGUCCACGCCGUAAACGAUCAUCACUCGCUGUUGGCGAUAUACUGUCAGCGGCCAAGCGAAAGUAUUAAGUGAUGCACCUGGGGAGUACGCCGCACGGUGAAACUCAAAGAAUGACGGGGCCCGCACAGCGUGAGCAUGUGGUUAAUCGAUGAUACGCGAGACUACAGGCUAAAUGUAGUAUGACCGUCUGAACAGACUCC
rnacentral:rRNA from 1 species